GACGAACGCUGGCGGCGUGCCUAAUACAUGCAAGUAGAACGCACAGUUUAUACCGUAGCUUGCUACACCAUAGACUGUGAGUUGCGAACGGGUGAGUAACGCGUAGGUAACCUGCCUGGUAGCGGGGGAUAACUAUUGGAAACGAUAGCUAAUACCGCAUAAUAUUAAUUAUUGCAUGAUAAAUAAUUGAAAGGUGCAAUUGCACCACUACCAGAUGGACCUGCGUUGUAUUAGCUAGUAGGUGAGGUAACGGCUCACCUAGGCGACGAUACAUAGCCGACCUGAGAGGGUGAUCGGCCACACUGGGACUGAGACACGGCCCAGACUCCUACGGGAGGCAGCAGUAGGGAAUCUUCGGCAAUGGACGAAAGUCUGACCGAGCAACGCCGCGUGAGUGAAGAAGGUUUCGGAUCGUAAAGCUCUGUUGUAAGAGAAGAACGGGUGUGAGAGUGGAAAGUUCACACUGUGACAGUAUCUUACCAGAAAGGGACGGCUAACUACGUG
rnacentral:rRNA from 1 species